rnacentral:rRNA from 1 species
ACGGCGAGUGAGCGGCAACAGCUCAAAUUUGAAAGCUAGCCUUCGGGUUCGCAUUGUAAUUUGUAGAGGAUGCUUUGGGUAAAACGCCAGUCUAAGUUCCUUGGAACAGGACGUCAUAGAGGGUGAGAAUCCCGUAUGUGACUGGAAAUGUUAACCUAUGUAAAGCUCCUUCGACGAGUCGAGUUGUUUGGGAAUGCAGCUCUAAAUGGGAGGUAAAUUUCUUCUAAAGCUAAAUAUUGGCGAGAGACCGAUAGCGCACAAGUAGAGUGAUCGAAAGAUGAAAAGCACUUUGGAAAGAGAGUUAAAAAGCACGUGAAAUUGUUGAAAGGGAAGCGCUUGCAAUCAGACUUGUUUAAACUGUUCGGCCGGUCUUCUGACCGGUUUACUCAGUUUGGACAGGCCAGCAUCAGUUUCGGCGGCCGGAUAAAGGCUCUGGGAAUGUGGCCUCCACUUCGGUGGAGGUGUUAUAGCCCAGUGUGUAAUACGGCCAGCCGGGACUGAGGUCCGCGCUUCGGCUAGGAUGCUGGCGUAAUGGUUGUAAGCGACCCGUCUUGAAACACGG